AAGGGCACGAACCCUAACAUUUGCGAGCGCCGCUGCUGCUCCUUCUCUUUCUCCUUCUUUUCCACACUAUUUAUCUUCCACUGCAGUCCCCAUUUUAUUGUGUUCAUUUUGGCUGAAGAAAAUAUAUUCUCUUCCUACAAUAAUAUUAUCGUGUUCUUCCUUUUUUUUUUUUUUUGGAAUUGGAUUAGAGUAACGAAAUCAAUUACAAAAUCGAAAUCGCUGUGACGACUCGGAAAAUUCAAGCUCAACAGACCGGAUUGCAGGUUUCUCUCUAUUCAGAGAUUGUUACUUGCAUGUCGAUUAACCCGCUGAACUGAGCGAUUCUCUCUUACGUAUUUGAUUUAGUUUAUUUUUUAAUUUUUUUCAUUUAUGAGCAUUUUUAUCGAUGUUUUUUUUUUUUUUUUCUGGAUUCGUUUACUGUGACGAUAAAAAGCUCCCUCUUCUGAAGAACAUUGAGGACGUUUGCCGGCAGAAUCGAACCAAUUACUUAAUUUGCCACCACUGAGUAAACGAAUACAUUUCUCAUUUUGAGAUACUUAUUUCCUAUUUCUUUUUUCCAUUUAAAACUAUUUUCUAUGUGUUCUACAUUCUGAAUUUGAUUGGGAUGAAGCAAUAUUUUAAUUUCCAACACUUGGACUGAGAGGUAGGAAAUCUCACCUCUAGUGAUGCAAUAAUUUGCUACUGAAUCAUGUUUAAUAUAAUCACCGUUUAUUUUUUUUGUAUUUUUGGCUUUUUUUAUGUUAAUUUUAAAGGAAUUAUGUGGAUAAAACAUAUUUAUGUUUUGAUUUUAUUGGAGGAUCAUCAUGUGAUGAAUACACUUACAAAUCUUAGGACACCUUUGGACACAGUCUCUUUCUAGCUGUGAAUGAAAAUCAACUUUAUUCUGAUGAUGAUCAAAACUGCCUUUUUAAUUUUUUCCGUUCUUUAAAUAAAUCAAAUCUUUUCUUGUAUUUGUACGAUAUUAUGAUUAUUUGAGUUUUUUUGGCAUUGUUUAUUUUCUUUUUUAACUCCUUAUUUCUAAUAAAUUGCUUUUUUUUUCAUUGUUCGCCAAAAAUUGUGUUUGAUUAUCUCCUAAAAAUUAUUGCCAAUUAUCUCAAAAAAAAUAUGGUUCAUCAAACACUAACAAAAUUCAAUUGUUAAAAUUCUCAACUUGGUACAAAUCCAAAAUUUGAUCUAUUCAAGGUAAGAGAUUCUUCUAAAAUUUGAUCCACGGCCACGAUCGUUCCUCAACCUGCCAACCUGCUGAGCUGCCCCUGCUUAAUAUCGUUACCGUCGGGCAAAUGUUCCGGAGCGUCAGCAGGAAUGCGAUGUUGAUGGAGGGCUAUGUCCGUCUCAUCACGAACGAGACCAUUAUGGCUGCUUUCAGGCUUUCGAUCCCUAUAUUUUCUAUGACUGCUUUUCCUUCGUGAAGUUUGAGCUGUUGUUGUGUCUGCAUCAAGCAUAGCAAUCAUUUCUUGCAUAAUUGGAUUUGUUGCUGAAUUUCGAAUGAAUUGUUUCCACAUUUCAUCAAUUUCAUCUGAAUGAACAUCAGACAUAUUUUUGUGAUGUGUUCAAAUGAAAAAUUGAAUAGUUGUGAAAAAGAUAAAAGAAAGUGUGUGAUUUUUGUGCUUCAAAUGCUAAAUGUAACACUUAUAUAUAGCUAAAAUAUUUAUGACCGUUAGGAUAUAGUUGUUGUGAUUGUCAGAUAAUAAUUGUGUGCUUUUAUUAUAUUUAAAACUUUUGGAUUGAGUUGUUGGACUAUAAAUAUAAAUUUUUUAUUACAUUUAUGAUCAUUGAACGUGAUUGUUGUAUUUAGGGGCGGUAAUUGGUCCGAUUUGAUUAUAAUCAAAUCGAUUUUUUGAUUAAUUAGAAUCGAUUAAUCAUGAAAUAGUGAACUGAAAAUUGAAUCAAUUUUUAAUUCGAUUAACUGAUUAAUUGCUUAACCGAAUUAAUCGGUCUUUUUUGGGGCAAUUCAGUUUAUUUUCAAAAAAAUAGACUUCACCAAAUUGAAUCACGUGAAGAAACGAUUUUUUAAAGUCUAGAACUUGCAAUAUAGAAAACACAAUCAACUUCCUAGAUUUUUUCUGCACAAAGCCCAUUAAAAAGAAUUCAAAAGCUUAGAAAAUUCUUACGAUAUUGUUCAAAUGUUAUUUAGUGUCGUUUCUUACUGUCGCGUUCACAGGUGUUCCCUAUGUAUUCUCCUCGACUCCCUGAUAUUUCUGCGGCAACAUCAAAAGUGAUCAAGAGAAAUGAAGAGAUGAUGAUGAUAUAUAGCUCAUUAGUUAUUACCAUCUAGAAGUGUUUGUGAUCUGAAACAACUUAUUCAAUUCGGUUCUGUUGCUUUGAUCCCAAAGUAUAUGCUUGACAGUUGCUGGGGCCUCGUUCAGAUCGACAAAGUUGCUACAGUUACAUCCAACUUCUGAAUGUGCCAUAACGCGUGUGGUCGUGAUCCAGAAUAGGCAACAAUAACCAGAUGAUGACGCUACUUCCAAAAGGACGAUACUUUCAGGAGAUUUAGGUUUUCGAGAUGAAGCGUGCAAAUUUUGGAGAGUUUGGGUUAAGAAUCAUGUUUAUGUGCAUACUCUGGCGUGCCAGAGCAGAGAAGGCCCGCGCCAGAGCGGAAGCCCCGCGCUGCAGAGCAGGGCAGAUGCACUCGCCAGAGAAAUCAAAGCCCAGAGCAGCGAAGUUAACUCGUCAGAGUAGAAGAACCAAUCUCCAGAGCAGAGAAACCAAUAGCCAGAGGAAUCAACGGUCAGACCAGAGGAAUCACUAGUCAGAGCAGAGAAAUCAAAAGGCCAGAGCCAGAGCAUAGGAAUCACUAGUCAGAGCAGACAAGUGCGCCAGAGCGGAGGUCCGUUUCUCUGACGGAAGUCGUUUCUCUGGCGAGGUCCAUUUCUAUGACAACAUCCGUUCCUCUGGCGAGAGCUGCGAAUUCGGCCAGAAUGGAGAUGACUUGCAGCGCGCGUCACAGCUGGAAGUUGCCUUAUCUUACACGAUUUUAUUGCCUUUAGAGUUCUACUUUGCAUGGCAACUUCCAUGGUGAUCAAGAGGGAUUUGAAGUCUAUAAAUAGGGCUUAGUUAUUCAUUGUAAAAUAAUCCUUCUGCCUCCAGGCGUGUAGUUAGAUAAAACCCUUUGCCCUAAUCUUUAGUUUCCGCCAAGUUAGCUAAAGCUUAGGUUUAUUGUUUUUCAUAGUUCUAGUUUCGAUUUCUGUUCUAGUUAAUUUAGUUUAUAGUUCUUUUAAUUCAUGUUUUAGAUUAAUUUCCGUUUAGAGUUGUAAUUACGUGACAGAUUACUUCUCGAGACGAUUUACGGUAUUUCUUUAAUCAAGUUUAUUUAUUUGCUUUUA